rnacentral:lncRNA from 10 species
UUGGACAUUCAUAGUUACUUGGGACAACAGUUUUAGCAGGGCUCUCUUUCUCCUUUCCUGAUCUCUCUGUUAAGCUGCCUGGCUCAUUUGAUAUCACAUCCAAAUUAUCAGCUGAUUGCUCUAUUGUUUUGGACAAUGCCCUGAAGCAUACCAAAAUGUGUCUGGAAUUGGUGGGUUCUUGGUCUUACUGACUUUAAGAAUGAAGUUGCGGACUUUUGCGGUGAUCCACCCUACCACAUAUUGUCUCCUAAUGGCCGUCCAGUUUAUCCUGGAGCCCUUGCAUGACACAGGCCUAUCGAAGCAUAGGAGAUGCCAAUAUUUUACCUCUUGGGUACUUUCUGUGUAGAAGAUUCAUAACAAGAACAAUACUUAUUCUGCAAUUCUUUAUAUAAAGCUAAAAGAAAAUGCAUUCUGCCAACAACUAAUGAGCUUGGAAGAGAACUCCAAACCCCAGAAGAGGCCUGUCACAUUGGCUAACACCUUGAUUUCCACCCACUGAGACCUUGAGCAGAGACUUCAGUUACACCCCACCCAGACUUCUGACCUGCAAAACUUAAGAAGAAAGCCCAAAGACAAAACCAGAGGCAACUGGCUGCUGCAUCGCCCACCUAGUGGCAGUAGUGUGAGCUAUGGACAAAAGAUCUAAGUCUCCAGGACAAAGAGUUGUGCAGCUGCUCAUUUUCCUGUUGACUUCUGUCUAAGACUUGGAGAUGUUUGUAAGAUUGGGACCUACCUACAGAGGUAUCACACUCCUCUUGGUCUAACUCACUCUUGAACUGACAUUCGUGGUGA